rnacentral:rRNA from 1 species
CAGCAGCCGCGGGAAUACGAAGGGUGCAAGCGUUAAUCGGAAUUACUGGGCGUAAAGCGCACGUAGGCGGCUUUACAAGUCAGAGGUGAAAGCCUGGUGCUCAACACCAGAAUUGCCUUUGAGACUGUAUCGCUUGAACGUCGGAGAGGUGAGUGGAAUUCCGAGUGUAGAGGUGAAAUUCGUAGAUAUUCGGAAGAACACCAGUGGCGAAGGCGGCUCACUGGACGACUGUUGACGCUGAGGUGCGAAAGCGUGGGGAGCAAACAGGAUUAGAUACCCGAGUAGUCCCUGUCUCUUAUAC